GUGCUUGCUUCAGCAGCACAUAUACUGAAAUUGGAACAAUACAGAGAUUAGCAUGGUCUAUGUGCAUGGAUGACCCACAAAUUCAUGAAGUCUUACAUAUAUUU